GAUGAACGCUGGCGGCGUGCCUAAUACAUGCAAGUCGAGCGAACAGACGAGGAGCUUGCUCCUCUGACGUUAGCGGCGGACGGGUGAGUAACACGUGGAUAACCUACCUAUAAGACUGGGAUAACUUCGGGAAACCGGAGCUAAUACCGGAUAAUAUAUUGAACCGCAUGGUUCAAUAGUGAAAGACGGUUUUGCUGUCACUUAUAGAUGGAUCCGCGCCGCAUUAGCUAGUUGGUAAGGUAACGGCUUACCAAGGCAACGAUGCGUAGCCGACCUGAGAGGGUGAUGGGCCACACUGGAACUGAGACACGGUCCAGACUCCUACGGGAGGCAGCAGUAGGGAAUCUUCCGCAAUGGGCGAAAGCCUAACGGAGCAACGCAGCGUGAGUGAUGAAGGUCUUCGGAUCGUAAAACUCUGUUAUUAGGGAAGAACAAAUGUGUAAGUAACUAUGAACGUCUUGACGGUACCUAAUCAGAAAGCCACGGCUAACUACGUG
rnacentral:rRNA from 1 species